GUAGGUGGCAAGCGUUGUCCGGAAUUAUUGGGCGUAAAGCGCGCGCAGGUGGUUCUUUAAGUCUGAUGUGAAAGCCCCCGGCUCAACCGGGGAGGGUCAUUGGAAACUGGGGAACUUGAGUGCAGGAGAGGAAAGUGGAAUUCCACGUGUAGCGGUGAAAUGCGUAGAUAUGUGGAGGAACACCAGUGGCGAAGGCGCCUUUCUGGCCUGUAACUGACACUGAGGCGCGAAAGCGUGGGGAGCAAACAGGGAUUAGAUACCCUGGUAGUCCACGCCGUAAACGAUGAGUGCUAAGUGUUGGGGGGGUUUCCCGCCCCUCAGUGCUGCAGCUAACGCAUUAAGCACUCCGCCUGGGGAGUACGGUCGCAAGACUG
rnacentral:rRNA from 1 species